UUCUCUUCAGACCAUGGCAUGCCAACAUGUGUCUGCUUGUCCCACCUUGAGAUCAUCAUGGAGAGUGGCUCUUGAUGUUGCUUGUAGAGUCAGCCAGCCAUGGAAGGGGAGUAGGUUGUCUUACUCUGGUUUUGCUCCCAUGGAGCCUGGUCACCAGGACAGACGUAAAGAUGACUCCACCAUCUUGGCUGAACAGACACUGCACACACCUGUCAUGCUUAGAAGUGCUCCAAUGUUUAGAUAUUCAACCUGGCCAGGAAUCCCCCGUCUUGUUGUUGUGGCCCUGGAAUUGCAAGAGUGAGGACAAGGUGUGGGGAAUCCUUUUCUCUGGUGCCAGAAUUGGGGACCUCCGCCAGGGCAGAUUAAUGAGCCGUCAACUGGAUGUCCAGGGAAAGAUCCACUACUGCUUUAGCAGGGAAAAACUAGGGGGCCACUGCAGUCUCACCACACUCCCCCUUGUGGAAUUAAAAUGGCCUCCCGUGUUACACCUUCUCCUUACCUGA
rnacentral:lncRNA from 13 species